GGGCCAUACGAUGUGACAGCCAAACACAAGUCUGUGCAUGAAUGUGUGCAGAUACGUCUGUCGUUUAAACGAUGACUGAGUGUUCUGCCUUUUUCACAUGGGAUCCUGGCCCAACAUCCAAGACGGGGUACAAUGUGUUGUUUUGUUUUUUUUAUUUUUGUGAAAUCCCAUUGUUGUUGUUACAAAAUGGACCCUGCAAGGGCAAAAGGGACAGUGGAUGGAUAAAUGCAGCAGUCAGGUUUCUUUCCACACAGUCCCGGAGCCCACUGGACAGGGUACAGAUAAGGACGUGGGGUUUCUGACUGUAUGGUACUUCGGAGAUGAGGAGAAGAAGGACUCAAGGGAGGGAAUUGCUGUAUACAGUAUGGAAUAUUAAAAUCUGAAUGCUGCAAGACUCACUGGUUCAUAUCAAAUCCCUAAGAACCACUCCAUGAUCCCUGAAUCAAGCAAAAAAAAUCUAAAUGCAUGUAAAUACAAGAAUUUAUUUAACUUAAAUUAAGCUAGAUAGUAUUCGAAUGCUAAAAGCCACACAAAUCGAUUUAGGUCUUGGUUGUUCCCCUAUUAAAUAAUGUAUCACUCAAACACAUAUUGUCUUCAAAUGGCACCAUAACAAAAUCCUAUACAGAGAAUGAGUCCAUCAGAAUAAGCGGUCAUUUUGCUGUGGUAAGCAUACACAGAUUGACCUGAAAGCUAAUUGCAGCCUUGGCAGUAAUGAGAAAAGUGUCUUUCAUGCCAGAGAUAGAAGCUCAGACCAUAUGUUGUUCAAAUGAUCUAGAUUCUAUUUUCUGUUCCUGUGGUCGUUUGUACGAAAUACAGACCUUGUGAAGUUAUUGCGCAAUAUGAGAAAUAAUUA